rnacentral:rRNA from 1 species
GACGAACGCUGGCGGCGUGCUUAACACAUGCAAGUCGAACGGAAAGGCCCUGCGUUUGUGGGGUGCUCGAGGGGCGAACGGGGGAGGAAAACGGGAGUAACCUGCCCUUGAGUUUGGGAUAACUUCAGGAAAGUGGGGCUAAUAACGGAUAGGAGCUCCUGCUGGAUGGUGGGGGGUGGAAAGUUUCGGCGGGUGGGGAUGGACUCGCGGCUUAUCAGCUUGUUGGUGGGGUAGUGGCUUACCAAGGCUUUGACGGGGAGCCGGCCUGAGAGGGUGACCGGCCACAUUGGGACUGAGAUACGGCCCAGACUCCUACGGGAGGCAGCAGUGGGGAAUAUUGCACAAUGGGCGGAAGCCUGAUGCAGCAACGCCGCGUGCGGGAUGACGGCCUUCGGGUUGUAAACCGCUUUCGCCUGUGACGAAGCGUGAGUGACGGUAAUGGGUAAAGAAGCACCGGCUAACUACGUG